UUUAGUCAGGCAACAAGCGAGACCCAUAUCCACUGUUGCUAACGCGAGCCGCGAGGCUUGGCGAGUACACGGUGGAGACCGCUGGCGCUAAGUCAGAGGAAGGGGUGGUCGACGGUAGGUCAGUAUGCCCCGAAUAUCCCGGGCUACACGCGGGCUACAAUGGACAGGACAAUGGGUAACUACACCGAAAGGUGGCGUCAAUCUCUUAAACCUGUCCUUAGUCCGGAUUGAGGGCUGAAACUCGCCCUCAUGAAGAUGGAAUCCGUAGUAAUCGCAUUUCAAAACAGUGCGGUGAAUACGUCCCUGCUCCUUGCACA
rnacentral:rRNA from 1 species